GACACCUUGAUACUUUAAUAUCUAUUAGGCAGAGAAUAAAAUAUCACACAAAAACUGAACAAGGCAAGUAUAAACCAGAUGACGACUGCUUGUAGAAAGUAGGACACCACUUCCAGCAAGAGCAAAAGAUGUGUCUUUUUCCUCAUGUCUAGUAAGAUUGGCACUUUUCUCCUUGGGCUCAGUGGUCUAAUGAAGUCACGAAAGUGCAUUCAGCCCACUGAACUUGAAUCUUUAGAAAACACACCUGAUAUCAUAUACUAAUACUUGGCUUCCAAAACUAUUAUUCCAAAGGAAGGCACACUCCCUUAGGAUAUGGAUCUUGUUUUGUUCACGAGAACAGCAUGAUGCAUAGUAGAUGCUCAUAAAGAUUUGCUGAAUGAAUAAAAUAAUUUUAAAACCAUAAUUCCCAUGGAGAGACCAUAAUAAUACAGGUCUUUAACAAAAACAACUAUAAGCUGGGGUCAAGAGUCUAAAGCCAACUAGCGAAAAUAUAUAUAUAUUUGAGACAG
rnacentral:antisense_RNA from 1 species